CACGAAACUAUGUGAGCUAAUUUUUUUUCCAAGUUGCUAUGUAGCAUAAUAGUGAGAUGAAGAAAAAUUAGGGGUGAUAGGCCUUACAAACAUAGUGAUAUCUUGAUUUCUCUUAAAUGUAAUAGUACACUGACACAUUUAAAGCUAUAAGGUUUUAAAUUAUAAUUAAAUACAAUUUACGUUAAGUAAGAUAUAAAAGUCUAUACAUAUAUCAAUAUACAAUACAUGUUGUAAGUUUAUAGUUUCUCAGGGAAUAUACAAUAACUUUUAAUGUAUUAAUAAUGUUACUAUUAGUAUUUAGUAGGUGUUAAUAGUGAACUCGGCAUUAAGUUUUCAACUGUUUAUCAAAAACAUAGCUACGUGUAAAUAUACGUAGUAUUUUCUGCUCAAUGAAGUUUAAAUAGCCGCAGUACCUUGACUGUGCAAAGGUAGCGCAAUCAUUUGUCUUUUAAUUGGAGUCGUGUAUGAACGAAUAUAUGGGGACUUUCUUUACCAUUAACAAUUUUAAAAAUUACUUAACGAGUGCAAAAUCUCGUAGUUAAACAAUAGACGAGAAGACCCUAGAAAUUUAUGUAAAUAUUUUGUUGGGGCAACAUAGUAACAGUGAACUUACUAUAUGUAUAUGAAAUUGAUUAGGUAAAGUAAAUUACUCUAGGGAUAACAGCAUAAUAUUUAAAUGUUUGUGACCUCGAUGUUGGAUUAGGGUGUUAUAGUUUAGAA
rnacentral:rRNA from 1 species